UUGUUUGCAGGCUCAGAUCCUGAUGACAUGGAGCACGACGAAUUGGAAGACUCAAGUCACAAUACCUAUGUCGACCAUGAUCCAUUGGACUAUGUCUACUCAAACCUCCCAGACCACACACACAUCCUGAAGCACGCCGCAAAUUGCGAUCACUGCGAGGCCAAGAAGUUUGUGUCUGAGGCCCCGGGAUUCUGCUGUCGCAGUGGGCAGAUCCAGCUGAAGCAACCGGAGCCCGUCCCGGAGCUAAUGAGGCUUUGGUCUAGCAUGGAUGCGGACUCAAGGCAUUUUCGGGAGAACAUACGGUUCUUCAACGGCCACUUCUCCUUCACAACCCUC
rnacentral:rRNA from 1 species